rnacentral:rRNA from 1 species
GUAGCGAAAUUCCUUGUCGGGUAAGUUCCGACCUGCACGAAUGGAGUAACGAUUUCCCUACUGUCUCCACCAUGAACUCGGUGAAAUUGCAUUACGAGUAAAGAUGCUCGUUACGCGCAGCAGGACGGAAAGACCCCGGGACCUUUACUAUAGUUUGGUAUUGGUGAUUGGGACGGUUUGUGUAGGAUAGGUGGGAGACGUUGAUGCGGCCACGCUAGUGGUGGUGGAGUCGUUGGUGAAAUACCACUCUGAUUGUUCUGGUUAUCUCACUGUGGACCGUGAUCCGGUUCAAGGACAGUGCCUGAUGGGUAGUUUGACUGGGGCGGUCGCCUCCUAAAAAGUAACGGAGGCGUACGAAGGUAAGCUCAAAUUGAAUAAACCCAAUUUAAGAGCAUAAUAGCAUAUUGUUUGCUUGACUGAGAGAUUGACAAAUCGAACAGAGAUGAAAAUCGGUUAUAGUGAUCCGAUGAUCCUGAGUGGAAAAGAUCAUCGCUCAACGGAUAAAAGGUACGCCAGGGAUAACAGGCUAAUCAUUCUUUAGAGACCCUAUCGAUGGAGUGGUUUGGCACCUCGAUGUUGGAUUAUCGCAUCCUGGAGCUGUAAAUGGUUCCAAGGGUUUGGCUGUUCGCCAAGAAAGGCGGUACAUGAUCUGAGUUUAGAACGUUGUAAAACAGUUUGGUCCCUAUCUACCGUGAGUGUUAAAAAUUUAAAGGGGUAGACCUUAGUACGAGAGGACCGGGAAAAGUAAAUCUCUGGUGGAUCGAUUGUUAUUUUAAUAGCAUUGUCGAGUAGCUACAUUUAUAAUAGAUAAUUGUUGAAAGCAUCUAAACAAGAAACUAGCCUUGAAAAAAAUUUUUUGAAAGUCGUAAAAGAUUAUUACGUAAUAGACUUAAUGUAUAAGAGUUGUAAGAUUUUUAGCAAAUAAGUAC